CCUACGGGAGGCAGCAGUGAGGAAUAUUGGUCAAUGGCCGUAAGGCUGAACCAGCCAAGUCGCGUGAAGGAAGAAGGAUCUAUGGUUUGUAAACUUCUUUUAUAGGGGAAUAAAGGUAUCCACGUGUGGAUAUUUGCAUGUACCCUAUGAAUAAGCAUCGGCUAACUCCGUGCCAGCAGCCGCGGUAAUACGGAGGAUGCGAGCGUUAUCCGGAUUUAUUGGGUUUACAGGGUGCGUAGGUUGUUUUUUAAGUCAGCGGUGAAAGUUUGUGGCUCAACCAUAAAAUUGCCGUUGACAAUGGAAGACGUGAGUGUGUUUGAGGUAGGCGGAAUGCGUGGUGUAGCGGUGAAAUGCAUAGAUAUCACGCAGAACUCCGAUUGCGAAGGCAGCUUACUAAGCCAUAACUGACACUGAAGCACGAAAGCGUGGGGAUCAAACAGGAUUAGAUACCCCUGUAGUC
rnacentral:rRNA from 1 species